AAGUCAUAAAAAUAGCACUUAAUGUUUUAUCAAAAGUCACAAACUUAGGGUUUAGAGUUAAAGGGUGAGGUUUAGAAUUUAGGGUUUAGGGUUUAGGGUUUAGAGUUUAGGGUUUAGAGUUUAGGGUUUAGGGUUUAGAGUUUAUGGUUUAGGUUUUAGGGUUUAGGGUUUAGGGUUUAGGGUUUAGAGUUUAGGGUUUAGGGUUUAGAGUUGAGAAAUGAGGUUUUGGGGAUAAGAUUUCAAAUUUUGAAAAAUAAAAAAAUUAAAAUUUUCAAUGGAUAAACUUAGAAAUGUGCUAUUUUGGUCAUUUUAGUUUUUGAGUGCUAUUUUUGUGAUAUAAACUUAGAAAUGUGAAAUGAGGUUUUGGGGAUAAGAUUUUAAAUUUUGAAAAAUAAAAAAAUUAAAAUUUUCAAAUGAUAAACUUAGAAAGGUGCUAUUUUGGUCAUUUUAGUUUUUGAGUGCUAUUUUUGUGAUAUAAACUUAGAAAGAUGCUAUUUUGGAGAUUUGCCCUUAAAUGAAUUAGAAAUAUAUUUUUUAAUCACAAAGGGUAUAUGUGUUUAAAAAAAAAAAAAUCACAAAGGGUACAUAAAAGCGAUAAAUGUAAACACGUUGCAGCAAGUACGUAGGAGCAGCAAGAAUGACAUCUUAUCUAAAAAUGAUAGACUAUCGCUAUUUAGGUUUUGGAUUUUGGAAGAAAGAAGAAUGAAGAAGCUAGCUGAGUUUUGAAAACUCUUUGAUUAUGUCCAAAACUUGCAUUUAAUUCAUAAAGUUGUUACUGUCCAAAACUUGCAUUUAAUUCAUAAAGUUGUUACUGCUGUCUUUUUUUCUUGUCCUUCGGAUUGAAUUCAAUCUUACUCAAAGCAAAUAUAUUCUUUAUCCAAUUAUUUUAUGACAUUUACAAAGUAGAAUAUUAACAUAAUUUGAUCUAGAAAACCCUUUCUCAAAAAAAAACCAUAAUUUAAUCUAGUAUAUAACUAUUAAAUAGUAGUUUAAUGUUUUAUAUUAUUAUGCAAAAAAAUAUUUAGAUAAACGUUUUUUCUCUGCUUCAUUAUUAAUUUAUUAUUAUACUAACCGCUAUAACGCUCUAAUAUACAUCCGUCAAAUAUACCAUUUUGAAACAAAUAAUUGAGGAUAAUAUGGUCCAUGCAACUCCUAUAUAAACAUAGAGUUAUCCAUCUUCCAAUUCAACAAUACAACAUCCAAACGCAAAAAAGUUCCACUUCUAAGCCCUAACUCCACAAGGAACACAAAACCCAUUGAUAAAAAUGGCUGAUACCCAAAAUACCAUUUUCGUCUUCCGACCAGACCAGCAGAAUCUGGCACCUAAACCUCUGACUCCAUUCUCUGCCGUGACCCCUCACCGUGCUACGGCCUCACGAGCACGCCGCCUCAUCUCUACCACAACCCUCGAAAUGAUUAGUGAAGAAGAUACCGCACCGGAAGAAGAUCAUCCUAGCACUGUCGCUGCGAGGGAUACUCUUCCGGUAUUUCCGUCGACCUCCUGUUUCUUGAUGGCCAAUAAACAAGUCUCUUUCAUGUUAUACGGAAGCUGCAAGUGCCCUUGAUUAUUUUCACUACAAACCGACUGAAGAAUGGUGUUUUUUUUCUUGUACUAGUCAAGUUAGUAAUAUCUGAUGUCAGUUAUGGUCGAUGCUUUGUUUUUACAGAAGUUUAUUUUCUGUUAUACGGAAGCUGCAAGUGCCCUGGAUGUUUUUUCACCACAAAGCAAUUAUGGUGUUUUUUUUUUACUUUUCUUGUAAUAAUCAAGUUAGUGAUGUCUGAUGUUCGAUAGUGCAUGGUGCUAUGUUUUAAUAGAAGUUGAAUCAACUUUCUCCGCUUUUACAGUUUCCACUGGAAUAUAAUUAUGCCAAAUUGCCAACCAUUAAUUUGAAAAUUAUUCCAAACAUGUCCAACGGGAUAUCUCACACAUGAGAGAAAAUGAGAGCCGAUUAAUUUUCGGGUUUUAAUCAUCAAAAACUCUUAUGCAAUUUCUACAUUCAUGAUUGGUUCAAUUUUCUUAUAUAAGAAUACAUCUAGUGCAGGUAACACAAGUAUGUAGAGGAGGAGAACCAAGCGUUUGUGGCUUGGUGGUAAAGGAGGUACAACUGUACUGCCCGCCAUCCGGGUUCGAGUCUCGGCCACAACGGAUUUAACAUCUCUUCCGUUGGGACGCUGGACCCCCUACGGGGAUAGUUGGGAAUGUGGCUGUCCAGAUACCAGAGUUACCAAAAAAAAAAAGUAUGUAGAGGAGUAUUUCAAAAACUAAUAAAAUAAAAAUAAAAAUAUAUAGAUUGAUAGAGUAUCUCAUGAGUUAUUUUUGCUAGAGUUUCUCAACUAUACAAUUUGUAUAUUGUUCUUUUUAUUUUAUAAUUUUCAAAAUAUUAUUUAAAAUAUUUGCAUAAGAUAUUCAUAACAUUUGUAUAAUAUUAUAUUUGUGAGAUACUUUUUUAGAAUAUCUUACUGUCAAAAGUGUAUUUAUUGGUUUCAGUUUAAAACCAAAUUAAAAAAAGAGGUAAUUUGCUGAAUAUAGCCAAAAUUAAGUAACUACCCUAACAAACUGGAUCGCUGUAGCAAAAAAUGCUUAACCUGACUGUUUUGUCCCUACGCUUGCUUCUGUAUUUGCCUCUGCCUUGCCCGAAACAUUCUUCUUCUUUCUUUUUCUUCCUAGAUUUUCCUCUCUCUUUCUUCCCAAAUUUCUCUAUCUCUUUCAUUUAUUUUGUUUUCCUUUUCUUGACAAUGCAUUCUCUCAUGAUAAUAUUUUUUGUUAAAAUAAAAAGCUUCUUCUCAAAUCCAUUGUCAAUCGUGUUAUCAAGUUUCUUAUAUAAUGCCCACUAUGUUUCUGGCACCAAUUAUACAUUAUGUUUCCGACACUAAUUACGUUGAUGUUGGAUGCUACAUAUAUACAUGUGAAUUACAGACGAAAAGAAACCCAAACCUUCCAAAAAUUACAAUUGGUUACAUGAUUUUACCAACUCAACAUUUAUCUGCAACUAUUUUAGGGGAGAGAAAACACGAGAAAAAAAAAGAAACACAUUAAAUUAUUAAUUAGUACGUUAACAAUGGAUGUUUGAUGCUAAGAUGCAUCAUAAAAUAUUAUAAGAAUUGCUGGUAGAUAACUUGUUUAAGAGAAAAUAUAAUUAUCUAAUAACAAAAACAAUGACAUCAAUCUAAUAUGUUAUUUACCUUAUACUUAGUUAAGCACUUGUAACCUAGGAUCUGUUUCGCCGGAACGCCGUUGAUGUACUUUUACGAUGCCCAAUUAUGGGUUGAAAAAAAAAAUUAUUUACCUUAUAUACCAUAGUAUAUACCAUAGUGUCAAAUAUAAUUUUUCAUUUAAAUAUAAUACAAUAAUUGUUAACCGUUAAGAAGAUAUCAGUUGAAUAGUUAAUGAUUAAGUUAACCCGAUAACCUAUUUUGUACCAUCAAACAAAAUCUAUAUCAGUUAAUCGGUAGUUAUUUUUAACAUCUUAUAAACUAAUUUGAAAAACGAUAGCAUGUUUUGUAGCAGCUAAUCGAACAUGUAUCGGCUAAUGACAACAUAUUAUAUAAAAUGUAACCAAAUUAUAUAAAAUGUAACUGCUAAUAUUUGAAGCACUAUGUUAUAUGACUCAUUAGAUCGGUAAUCAAUUUUGUACCAUCUAACAAACUAUGUAACAGCCAACAUCAGCUAUUUAUUAACAUCUUACAAACCAUUUUAAAAAGCUUCAACAUUUUUUGUAACAGAUAAGCAAACAUUUAUCUGUCCACAAUACUUAAUUUGUAGAAUUUAAUCAAAUAUUUAUCAAUUAAGUUUUUUAAUAGCAACUACAUAUACUUGCAACUGAAAUGUUAAAUUUAUGUUUUUUAAUCGAUGUCGAGGACACCCCACUCUUCUGAAUAUAUGGCCCAUCCAUACAGAUAUGUGCUUGAUCAGCACGUGAAUUGACACUCAUUAAAUCCAAGCAUUGUGUAAAAUGAAAUAUACAUAACUGAAAACUAAUUGCAUCUGUAAAAAUAGAAAAAAAACAAGAAGAAUUCAUUAUACAAGUGAAAAAAUAUAAAUUAUAUUAGAGAAUCUAAAGAGAUAUGAAAGGGAGAGAAAAAUAGAGAAAGAAGAAACCAUUUGGAAAUGAGAAGUUAUGGAGAUACAAAAGAAAAAAAAAGUGAUAGUUUGGGCAGGGAUAAUAUAGGAUUAUGAAAAUGUUAAUAGUGUCAAAAAUAGUGUUAGAGUAGUUAACUAAUAUUGGUUUUUUUGUGUGUAUAUGCAGCCUAAAUACUUUAAAAAAAUUGGGUGCAUUAACAUUUUUCCUGAUUACAAAAUUUUAUUUAUAAGUUACUAGUUGCAUGCUUAAGUUAUUCGGGAAAAAUAAUCGAUAAUUUACCUUUUUAAAGCUAGCGCUAUUAAAAAUUACGAAAAACAUUAAAAUAAUUAUAUUUAUUUUAUGUUUAUUUACAUAAAUGGACCACUUUGAACUGUUAACGGUUCUAUUUGCAUAUUAAUGCGGAAAAUCUUAUAUAUGUUUUUGUUUCUAUUAAUUUGUAUGAUUAUUAAUGAAAUAAAAAAUGUAUUUAUUAAUUUGCUUAUCAAAAGUUUAUAAACUUGGAUGAACAAUAAUAGCUUUUGAACCUUUAAAAUUUUAUUAGUUCUGAUAUUUCUAGUUCUAUUAAUUUCAUUACUUUGUUAGUUGGCAAUUCUACUAUUCAGGUGGGAUACCAAUCAAACUCACACACUAUAAUAUAUAUAUAUAUAUAUAUAUAUAUAUAUAUGGUCAUGAUUGUAUGGUUGCGUACUAAGUAAGACCUGUAUCCCUCUCAAAGUCUCAAGUCAGUAUAGAGAGGGCCAAAUGUACGUUUUAAACGGCCACCACCAAAAAUGUAUGUUAUACAACAAAACCCUUGUAACUUGGGCUUCAUCCCUUUUCAUGCAGCCCAUAAGCUAUUUAUAAGGUCUAUUAUGUUGGCAAAAUAAUGUUUUUGACUGAAAUCACAGAAUCCACAAAACCCCUGACAUUUUUCUCUUACCGGUUCCCCAAGGUUUCAUGUGUAUAUGUCAUCAGGACCAAACUUUUAGUUUCUGUUUACAUAACGUUUUAAACUUGUAACGUUUUUGGGCUUAGUUAACCUUACUUAGGAGCUGUUUUGUAGUUAUAAUAAUAUUUAGUUCUAUUUUGCAAAUUUAUUAGAGUUGGGUUGCCGAACUGCAAAUUUAAGCUUCGUUUCUAAAACCCUAACUCUCUCUCUCUCUCUCUCUCUCUCUCUCUCUCUCUCUCUCUCUGGAUUCUGUCUGCUUCAAUGGCGUCUUUUGAGCGUUUCGACGACAUGUGCGACCUGAGACUGAAGCCCAAGAUUCUCAGAAACCUUCUCUCCGAGUACGUUCCGAACGAGAAGCAGCCUCUCGUCGACUUUCAAUCACUCGCCAAGGUCGUAUCGACCAUCGCCACCCACAAGCUGUUAUCCGAGUCUCCGUCGUCUUCAGCUGACCAGAAGAAGCUUCAAGCCAAGCCUUCCAAAUCAGCCGUUGAUGAUUGGGUCGAGAGGUUGUUGGCUCUGGUUUCUUCAGACAUGGUACAGACAGAGACUCUGUCUUUAAAUAGUAAAAAGUUAAAAAAGAGGAAAGGUGUCGACUUUGGUGUUUAAAAUGUAUGGUUUAUUGAUGUAGCCAGAUAAAUGCUGGGUGGGUGUCGUUUUGAUUGGAGUAACUUGCCGAGAGUGCAGCUCUGAUCGUUUCUUUAGCUCAUACUCUGUUUGGUUCAACUGUUUACUAUCGCAUAUCAAGGUAUAUAUGGCUAUAUGGCUUGCUCUGUGGUGAGAUUUGAGUGUUUGUAUUCAGUUAUUCUGACUUUUUGUAUUUUGUUUGAAAGCAGAAUCCAGAAAGUUCUAGAAUUGUUCUAGUGGCUUCAUGUACUUCAGUCUCUGAUCUCCUUACCAGGUCUGUAAUUGAAUUAUGUCUUGUCAUCAUUUACACUGGAAAUGCUGUGUAGAUCAGAUUGUUAUACCAUUUUUAUAUUUGUUUUUUUCUUGUGUGUGUGUUCUACUCUACGUUAACCCUUUGGGUUUUUUUUUUGUAAAUCUAAGCUGUUUUUUUAAUUGGAAUCAGGCUGUCUAGAUUCACUAAUACAAAGAAAGAAGCAGUUUCACACGCUUCGAAAGUAGUCUUGCCGAUUAUUAAACUAUUGGAGGAAGAAUCUUCAGAAGCACUAUGGGUAAGUUUCAUAUUUGAGAAGGCCUUGAAGUUUCUCUUUUUAGCAAACAUUAGUUCUGUUCAUGUCAUUGCUAGAAUCCUCAAUUUGAGUUUUUUUUUUAUUGCUAUUGGGUAUGCAGGAAAGCAUUGUCCAUCUGCUAAGUACAAUUGUUAUCUUGUUUCCUGCUGCCUUCCACAAUAGUUAUGACAAGGUCAGCUCUCUUCACUUCUCAAAUGUUUUUCUUUUCUAUCUGGUGAUUUGUUAUUGUAGCGCUGUUUUGUUAGAGUCUAUUUGAAACGAUAUUCCUUGCAGGUUGAAGCCAUUAUUGCCUCCAAAAUAUUUUCUGCGAAAACCAGUUCUAAUAUGUUAAAGGUAUUCACCGUUUUAUGCAUUCACUAAUUCACAAUUUCCAUCAACAAAGUAAAUAUUGUUAUAUUAACGACGCCCACUUUUCUAUCUCAACCUUUCAGAAAUUUGCUCACUUUCUAGCAUUACUCCCAAAAGCUAAUAAAGGCGAUGCAGGCAGCUGGUCCUUGAUGAUGCAGAAGCUGUUGAUAGCUAUAAACGUGCAUUUAAAUAAUUUUUUCCAAGGUUUAGAAGAUGGUAAUUUUCUUACUUCCCUUGUUCCUUUUUUUUUGUCUUUGGCUAUAUAGUUUCUCUGAUAGAACACUGUGGCAUUUAUCACAGAAACAGUAGGGAAAAAAGCGAUCCAACGAUUGGCUCCUCCUGGAAAAGACUCUCCUUUGCCUUUGGGAGGUCAAGAUGGGGCUUUGGAUGAUGCAUCGUGGAACUCUGAGCAGUUGAUUGUUUCCAGAGUUUCUGCACUUAUGUUCUGCAGCUCAACAAUGCUAACUAGCUCUUACAAAUCCAAGGUAGUGUGAGCUUACUUCUCUCUUGAUGUGUGCUAUCCAAAAAAUGCAAUUUGGUCCUGGAAGAUGCUGAUAUUCUUUCUUUCUUUCAACCUUUCAGCUUAAUGUUCCAGUUGCCUCAUUAUUAUCCCUAGUAGAGCGAGUGCUGGCGGUGAACGGCUCUCUACCACGAUCCAUGUCACCUUUCAUGACAGGGAUCCAACAAGAAUUGGUUUGUGCAGAGCUUCCUACUUUGCAUUCUUCGGCUCUUGAACUCUUGCGCGCUACUAUUAAGUGCAUACGCAGGUAAACCUUUAGUAGUUUAUGUCUUGGUUGAAAGCAGUUUUACGCUGACUUUUAUUUGCAAAUAAUGGAUUGUUACUACACGUUUCUAUGGUACUAAACAACAUCCUUGUGUUGAUUCAAUUUUGCAGCCAACUUUUACCAUAUGCUGCAUCUGUGGUGAGAGUUGUUAGUAGUUACUUCAAGAAAUGUUCAUUGCCGGAACUGAGGAUAAAGCUCUACUCAAUCACUAAAACCUUGCUCAAAUCCAUGGGUGUAGGUAACUUUUCGCAAGAUCUUCCCCUUUGUUUUGCAUUUUUCAUUUCUCAGCUUGAGGUGAUGAAAAUAAAGAUCCUUUUCUGUGCUAUAACAUUAGUUCUCUGACCAGGAAUGGCAAUGCAACUGGCAAAUGAAGCUGUAUCUAAUGCCUCUGUGGAUCUUGAAGGAUUUGAUGCCGUAUCUAGCAAAACCCCAUCGCUUACAAAUGCUGCUGUUCUUAAGGGUGGCAGUAAAAAAAGGAAGCAUGCAUCUAAUUCCGGAGCCGAGGCAGAGAACUCUGCUGUUGAAGUGGGCGUCCCUCACAAUCACUCGUUGAAGAUAGCAGCUCUUGAGGCACUAGAAACUCUUCUCACCAUCGUAAGCUUCUUUUUAACGUAUUACUGUUGAUAGUUUAGUAUGAAGUUAGACUCUGUGGUUUGUUGAGUUAGUUACCUGAAUCAAACAUUCUUCUUUUCUUAUGGCUUUCAGGGUGGUGCAUUGGGAUCUAAUGGCUGGAGAGAACGUGUUGAUAAGCUUCUAAUGACCACAGUAACAAAUGCUUGUGAAGGGAGAUGGGCCAAUGCUGAAACCUACCAUCAUUUACCCAAUAAGUCUUCAACUGAUCUGGUUGAGUUUAAGCUUGCAGCACUCCGUGCGUUUUUGGCAUCUCUCGUUUCUCCAUCACUAGUACGUCCUGCAUUUUUAGCUGAAGGACUUGAGCUGUUCCAAAGAGGUAACUAAAGACUGUUGGCUUUGAAUUAAACUAUAAGCUUUUAAAGCCAAGAAACUGAUGCAUAUACUGUGGACGGCGAACAGGUAAGUGUCAGGCGGAGAUGAAAGUUGCCGAGUUCUGUGCUCACGCUCUCAUGUCUCUUGAAGUUGUCAUUCAUCCGAGGGCACUUCCACUUGACGGUCUCCCAUCACUGAGCAGCCAAUUCCCUGGAAGCAAUUCUCUGGCUAGCCAAAAACAUAACGCACUUGGUCUGAAUAAGAUGGACCGUAUUGCUGGAGAUAGCAGUGUUCUAUCCAACUUAUGGCUGGCAAACGUGGAUGUUCCAGCUAACAGCGAGAUUCAGAGAAGCAUAGAUACGACUCUACCUCUCCCAGAGGCCAAAAGAUUGAAAGUUGGGAACGAUUUGGUUGGAUCAGAGAAUGUUCAACAAGCUGAUGUGCUUAUAAAGGUUCCUGAAUCAACUAAGGAAUCUCUAGGGCAUGUUUCAGAGAGAGAUGAUGAUAUGGUUCCCAAAGAAGUAGUGAUUGAGACUCAUGAGGGAGAGGGUUUAGAGGGUCAGGAUAGUUUGAUGGAGGAAGCAGCAGUUGGUAAGAAGCAUGAGUCCUUAGGUGAAUCUGAUGAUGAUUCUAUUCCAAGUCUUAAGGCGGAUGAUUAUCUUUCUUCUGAUUCUGAUAUUGAAUCUUAAUGCAAGUCAAAAAAAGAACUCACAAAUCUGUCUUAACAGUAUCUUUUUUGUUUCUGAAGUUGUAGUUUUAUCAUCUUGAUGUUGUUAACAUAUAUGGUUUUAACAAUUUUGAUAUUUUCAUAAAACAAAUCAAUAUUAUCUAGUAUAGUAAAUUUGAUUUAUAUUUGAGAUUUGGUGGAAAGUUGAAAUUUAAGCUAAUACUGGAUUGUAGUUGUUUACUUAAAAAUCAAAACUAACGGAUACACAAAUUUGGGAAACUCAGAUCUUGUUGAAGGCAACAAUGUCACAACUCUGAACAUAUUCAACUUUAAGCAACACUUGAACACCUACGAGGAGCGAGUCUAAAUCCAGACACUGAUGACUUUCCAAAGAACAUGAAGACCUUCUCUUGAAGGAUGUAACAUCAGCGUAUGCUCUCACCUACUAUUUCUAAGUUUGGAUCACGACAGAAGCAAUGAACUAAAAAUUUCUUGUGGCACAAGGCAUUGCUAAAUUUUGAAAGUCCGUACUAUCCGUUCGAAACAGGGUCCAUGCUCUGAUAUCUCAACCCGAUGAUCAUGGUUGUCCUCUCGCACGUGCGCUUGAGACAGGUCAAGCUUCUUUCUAGGUUUUAGUCCUUGGCUAUAUAAACAAGGUUGUCAGGUUGAUGUAAUCCUUAUCCAAGUUAUCAGAUAACUUGCCUGAGAACAAACUCUCGGGAGAAAUUCUACAGGAGACGAUCGUUUCUAGCCUAAUGCCUUUCAUGUCAGAGGCAUCAGAGACCUUAAGAAUUAGCUUGUUUCUGUACUUCUUUUCUGGAAGCCUUUAGAGGCUUUUCUAUGUUCAAACCACUCCUCAAAGAUAAUUUAAUGAGACGUUUGGUAAAUUUAACUCAUAUUUGAGAUAUAAAGAAAACACUGUAUGGCAUAAGCAUCAGAAUUAUUCAGAUAUCACAAAUCAAAAACAUAGGAAACUCAAAUAAUCAAAAUAGAGAGAAACACACAAAAGACCAUCCUCGAGCUCUCUUGACUCCAUCCUCCUGCAUUUUCAAAAAAGACCCCAACAAAAGGAGUCAGUUACAUACAAAAGUUAUAUAGUAUCAAAAAAGUUGAGAAUCAAUUAAUGACGCUCACAGAUUUUGUUGAAGGCAACAAUGUCACAGCUCUGGACGAACUCAUUGAUGGGUUCGACAACCCAUUUUCGCCAUUUUUCUUUCACUUUCUUGGCUGAUUUUCCCUGGAAAAAGAAGAAAAAUAAUGAGACGUUUGGUAAAUUUAACUCAUAUUUGAGAUAUAAAGAAAACACUGUAUGGCAUAAGCAUCAGAAUUAUUCAGAUAUCACAAAUCAAAAACAUAGGAAACUCAAAUAAUCAAAAUAGAGAGAAACACACAAAAGACCAUCCUCGAGCUCUCUUGACUCCAUCCUCCUGCAUUUUCAAAAAAGACCCCAACAAAAGGAGUCAGUUACAUACAAAAGUUAUAUAGUAUCAAAAAAGUUGAGAAUCAAUUAAUGACGCUCACAGAUUUUGUUGAAGGCAACAAUGUCACAGCUCUGGACGAACUCAUUGAUGGGUUCGACAGUGAGCUGCUCUUCAAUCAUGGUGUCAACAGACACAAGGUCAUCAACAAUUGUGCACAUAAUCUGCAACUUCUUGAUACCAUAACCGACUGGGACAAGCUUUGACGCUCCCCAGAAUAAUCCUUCCAUCUGGAUGGAUCUCACAGCUUCCUCAAGCUUCUUCAUGUCGGUCUCAUCAUCCCAUGGCUUGAUGUCAAUCAAAACUGAUGACUUUCCAGCUGAUAAAGAAAAAACACAAGCCAGUUAGAACACAAGACAUAUCAGCAUAUGUAAUUAACAAAUGUAAAGACAAAACAUCAAACUUACAUUCCUUCUUCUUUGUAGAAGCCUUCACGGAAGCAGCUCUCUCUUCAGCAGCUUUCUUCUCCUCUUCGGUCUCUUCUCCGAAGAGGUCAACAUCAUCAUCAUCUUCCUCAUCAGCAGCAUCCUACAAUUAAAUUUUCCCAUGAGGCUCGCUGAUUCACAAUCACAAGAGGCAAAAUGAGAUAAAGAAUAAAAACAAUCUGAAAGUACCUUAGAGUCAGCUGCUGGUGGAGUAGCAACAGCCUCUUCAGCGACUGGGGCUGAUCCCUCAACAACGACACCGCUUCCUUCAGCAGUGACACCACUACAAAACACGGAAGCAAACAUUAGAUGACUCCAAACAACAACAAACCAUAACGAAGUGGGAACCAAUGACGAAGCUUACGAGAUCCUCAGGAGGGCAUCGAUGUGGUUGUACCAACGAGAAGCGUUGACAUACUGUGAAGAUGGGGGCUUGGCAAGAGCAGUAAAGACAGUGAUGUCAUCCUUCGAAGCCUGGUACCUGUAACACAAACACAAACUGUUAGUCUCAUAGCUUCGAACAAAGGUAGAAACUUUAGGAUCUAAUCUUGUUAGAAGAGUUCACAGAAUCUUACCCAGUGAUGUAACUGCGAGUGAGGAGAUGCUCAUCAAGCUUCUUCAAUCCAGAAUCGGAGUUAAGGUUUGGGAAAGCAGCCAUUGCUUUUCUAAAGCUCGAGUCUUUUUUCACUGAAUAUAAAGCAGAUCCGAACAGAUCAGAACAGGAAACUUAAUGUUGGGAAAAAAAACACGAAACGGAGAUUCAUUAAGACAUUAGCUCAGAACAGGAAGCAGACAAGACAUGGCGCAUUGGUCUAGGUUUCGUGAUUCAACAAGGUUAUGUUUAAUAAAUACGUAAAUUUUGAAUUUCCAGUCAAAUACUAAUAGAAAGAUAUAUACUUUGCGAUCAAACAAACCAAACAGUAGUCGCAAUAACAACUAUAACGAUGAAAAUCGAAGAAGAGGAGCAUACCUGAGUUGCAAGGGAGGACUUGAAGAAGAUUGAGUGAGGCGGACGAGGGAUGCUGGAAUGUAUAUAACGCCUCUAGGUUUUCUAGUAUUGGGCUUAUGUUGGGCCCAAUUAAUACCUCUCUGUGAGGCCUUUUUAGAUAUACUCAUAUGUUUACUUUUUCUUAAAUGUUUGUUUUCAUGUCGCCAGUUUUGGUCACGGUAGUAUUUUGUCGCUUCUGUGAUAUAAAAUCUUUAGAUGAAAAUUAAUGGACAUAAACUACAUAAGGCCACCACCAUUAUCGCGGGUGGAUAGUGGGUUUCUAAUGGCGUGGACCCUACAAAAAGAGUAAGAAUCAGUUAUAGAAGUAAUGAAAUAAGGAUCGAUUUUGGUGUGUUUCUUGCACUGUUCGCGGAUUCCACUGACACAUGACGGUCCGCGAUUAGUUCAAUUUGAAUUUUUUUUCCAGACAAAAAAAUUAAAAAAUUAAAAAAAUUAAAAAAGGUUUCCUAAAAAACCAUAAAACGAUAAUUAUGAUCUAAGAGCAUCUCUAUCAAUGAUAAUUAGAAAGAGUUUCUCAAACAAAAAAUGUAUUUUAACAUAAUUAAUUUUAUAUGUUAAAUUUUCAAAGAAUUAAACCAAUGUCUGAUUGACAAGUGUCUCAAAAAGAAUCAUAAAAUUUCUCAGUUUUCAUUUAAUGAUUUUAUUUUCUCUCAAUUAUCAAUUAUUAUUUUUAUUAUUAUUUUAAUCAUAUAACAUAUUUUCUUCUUGCUUAUAUUCUUCCAAGUAAACAAGAAGAAAAUACUCCAAUAGUUAUUCAUAAACUGAAAUUAAUGUAUCAACUUUUGUAUCAAGAAAAAUAAUUACAAAGGCUGUCUUUUGCUUGUCGAAUUAAUUCCCCAUUAUUUCAAAGGACAAUUCAUAUUCUUUAGAAAGAAAAAAACCUUUAUCAAUAAAAAGGUAUAAAUAAAAGAAAGUUUAGACUAAACUACAUUCAGGGAAUAUAUUCCAAUGCAGAAAAUUCUUACGUGGUGUAGACGACUAGUGGUCUCGUAUGUCCUUUUUCAAACAUGAUUAUUACAUGACCGAUACACAAGUAAACAAAGAAAAGUCUUGAUUAGUGACAUUAUAAUAUUCGGGAAAUAAUAUGAUAUUAUGAUGUCAGUUGUCAAAUUACGCAGCUAUGUUGUGUAGACUUGCAUCGUAUUCCUCUCUGAUAUAAAUUUUCAUAUCUUCACUAGAUAGUAAUAAAUCAUGGUAUACAAGCAUGUGAUCAUAGUUUGUCUUCCAAAUCGGGCCGUCAAAUCACCCAUUUGAUUUAAAUACUCUUGAUAACUUACUUUUAAAAUUAUAAGCAUGCAUGAUUAAGCUUAGAUAAUCUAAAUUUUCAAAGUUCUUAAAUAUUUAUACUUAUACAAAUGACUAAUCAUGUACACUCUUCAAUAGUCCAGCAUAUCCUUUUCCGUGUUAUUUUUGUCUAAUCAGGAUGACAAUGAUCUUUGACCAAAUGUUGGUUACUAACAACAAACUAAUCAAAACAUGCAACCCAACCAUUGUUAAUUGAUUCAAUCAUUUAUGUUUUGUUAGAAGGAAAAAAUGUUAUAAUAAUUAUGUAUAUUUAAAGAAAAUAUGCAAAUGCUUCAAAAGGUAAAUAAAUACAACAAAGUAUAAGUAAAUACAAUAGAAAUGAGAAUAGAAAUGAGAAAGAAAAAAAAGCAAACAAAUGAGUUAUAGAAGAAAAUUUGGACAAGUCAACUGGAUUUUUCUAGCAAGAGUGUCUUGUACCAUAUCAAUUCUCCAUUGAAUAAUAACCACUUAUCAUUCUCUCACUUUAUCAGCACAAAUAAAAAUACAAAAAAAAAAAAACAGACCACAGCAGAGAAACUCACACUCUUUAUAAGUUUAUAUUUGUUGUUCAGUCUCCUUCAUCUAACACUUUAAACUAAAACUUACACACACAAAAUAAAAAAGAAUGGAAGGAGGAAUACAUGGAGGAGCAGAUAAAUCAGCUUUCAGAGAAUGUUUUUCUCUAACAUGGAAGAACCCUUAUGUUCUUCGUCUUGCUUUCUCCGCAGGAAUCGGUGGUCUUCUCUUUGGCUACGAUACCGGCAAGUUUCUUAAUCUGUUAUCUGCAGUUUCACUCAUCUAUAUACACGUGUGGCUCAAGUUUGAUGGGAUUUAUAUAUACAUGCAGGAGUUAUAUCAGGAGCUCUGCUUUAUAUCAAAGAAGAUUUCAAGACUGUUGACCGAGAAACUUGGUUACAGGUUCUUAUAUGUUUGUUUUAUAGUUAGAAUUUACAAAAAAAGUGUGUUGAGUUAUGACUAUUUUCUAGGAACUAUUUCAACAAGAUUGAUGUGGUAAUUAAAUUGUAUUUGUCAUCCCAAAACAACACAGAGACCAUAGUGUCAAAUUAAAGAAACCUUAAUAACUUUAGGUCUAAUCAUUAUGAAGUCCUUUACAAAAGCUUAGGAAAAGGUUUUCAGAAAUUUCGGACAAGCAUAAAUACAAGCAGAUCAUUAAGAGUUUCAACUCUGUUUUGCGCAUGCCGUUUUUUUGUAUUUACAGUUAAGAAUCACGUAACUAACUACCCAAACGUUACAGACAUACACUAAGCUCCAAAUCAAUUUUAUGAAAAACAGGAAAUGAUAGUGAGCAUGGCGGUUGCUGGAGCCAUCGUUGGAGCCGCCAUCGGAGGUUGGGCCAAUGACAAAUUCGGGAGGAGAAGCGCCAUUCUCAUGGCGGAUUUCCUCUUCCUAAUAGGAGCUAUCGUUAUGGCUGUUGCUCCUAACCCGUCCCUCAUUGUCGUUGGUCGUGUUUUUGUGGGCCUUGGGGUCGGUAUGGCCUCGAUGACUGCCCCGCUCUACAUCUCAGAAGCAUCUCCAGCUAAGAUCAGAGGAGCUUUGGUCAGUACCAAUGGGUUUCUCAUCACCGGAGGACAAUUCGUGUCUUACCUCAUUAACUUAGCCUUCACCGAUGUAAGUGAUAUUAAACAAUUUAACAUUUUGGAUUAUUCUAAAGGUGUUAAUGUUCUGUUUCUCUUAUUGUUUUAGGUGAAGGGAACAUGGAGGUGGAUGCUUGGAAUCGCGGGAGUUCCAGCUCUUUUGCAGUUCAUCUUAAUGUUUACACUCCCUGAAUCGCCUCGCUGGUUAUACCGCAAGGUAUAUAUGAACGUGCUCAAUAUAAUACUUACUAAUAUGGCAAAAUAUAAAACCAAAUCUACUAUGGAUUGUUUGGUAUCAUUUCUCUAAAAUAUUUUAAUCUUUUUAAGCCUACUUCUAGUUUACAUUUUUGGUUCGGUUUGGUCCGGUUUAUAUGAGAAGAAUAUACUCAUAAACAACUUUUAUUUUUUCAUUCUAAUAUAAAACAGGGAAGAGAAGAAGAGGCUAAAGCAAUCAUGAGAAGAAUAUACUCAGCAGAAGAUGUAGAACACGAGAUUAGAGCACUAAAAGAUUCAGUUGAAUCAGAGAUACUAGAAGAAGGAUCUUCAGAGAAAAUCAACAUGAUCAAACUAUGCAAAACCAAAACGGUUAGACGAGGACUAAUAGCUGGUGUUGGUCUCCAAGUGUUUCAACAGUUCGUUGGUAUCAACACUGUUAUGUAUUAUAGUCCAACCAUUUUCCAGCUGGCCGGUUUUGCCUCAAACAGAACAGCUAUUCUCUUGUCUCUAGUUACUGCAGGACUUAACGCAUUUGGUUCCAUCAUUAGCAUUUACCUCAUCGAUAGAGCCGGAAGGAAAAAGCUUUUGAUCAUUAGUCUUUUAGGAGUCAUUGUCUCUCUUGGAUUACUAACUGGUGUUUUCUAUGAAGUGACUACUCAUGCUCCUGCGGUUAGCUUCCUCGAGACACAAAGGUUCAAUAACGUUACUUGUCCGGAUUACAACUCAUCUUUGAAAGCACAAACUUGGGAUUGUAUGACUUGUUUGAAAGCUUCUUCUCCUUCUUGUGGGUUUUGUUCAUCUCCCAGUGGAAAGGUAAAGACUUCAAAACACACAAAAUGUUUUCUUUUUUAAAUUUGAAAACAUUUGAGUUCCAUGUCUUGUUUUGUAUGAUGAAUGCAGGAACAUCCUGGGGCUUGUUGGGUCUCUAAUGAUUCUGUUAAGGACUUAUGUCAUAAUGAAAACCGUCUUUGGUACACAAGAGGAUGUCCUAGUAAUUUUGGUUGGUUUGCUCUUCUUGGAUUGGGACUUUAUAUCAUUUUCUUCUCUCCGGGGAUGGGGACUGUUCCAUGGAUAGUUAACUCAGAGAUUUAUCCAUUGAGAUUCAGAGGAAUCUGUGGAGGAAUAGCUGCAACUGCAAAUUGGAUAUCGAAUUUAAUCGUGGCUCAAUCGUUUCUUUCCCUGACUGAAGCUAUUGGGACUUCUUGGACUUUUCUCAUGUUUGGAGUGAUCUCAGUCAUUGCUCUUCUCUUUGUUGUGGUGUGUGUUCCGGAGACAAAAGGAAUGCCAAUGGAGGAGAUUGAGAAGAUGCUUGAGGGAAGAUCUCUUCAUUUCAAGUUCUGGAAGAAAAGAUCACAGCCCGUUGAGAAAGGAAACCAAACUGCAUAAGAGAACUCUUUACAUAUUUCAUUAGUAAUAUAAAUAGGAAAUCACAUUAGACUUGUAACUUUGUAUUUGAAACUUGAUAGUGACAGAUACGUGAUCCUCUCUCUACCAUAAAAAUACUUCUUUUUUUUUUAUUUUUUUUGAAAAAUCCAUAAAAAUACUUUUAUGAGUCAAACUAUUGGAGGAAGAUCCUAAAAGCUAUCUCUUACCAUAACAGUGAAGUGUCACCAAAAUCAUUUUGAUAAAAACCAAUUACAUUACACAACCUCUCUUUUAACUAUUGUCAAUUAAUGGUGAAGAACUCCUAUGGUCAUUGGUACAUUCCAGGUUAUUUAACUUAAAAUAAAUAAUUUUAAAUAAAAUCUUGUCUUUUGAGCUGUUGAGGAUGAAGCUGACAACUACAAGAUUAUAUGCAGAUAACAAAAAUUUACUUAAAAGUUGAAAGGUAGGUAAUUCCAAAUGGUAUUUUGCUCUUUUUGCAUUAGAAAUUUUCUAAUAUUAAAUCAAUUCAAAUACGGCCAACUAAACUGCUACUGAGGUUGUAAGUCCAUUGUGCAUUUCUUAACUCGGAAAAACAAACCAAUUAUGUAUAAUAUAAUAAACAUUCGAAAAUACAUUUAAGAUUCAAGAGAUACAUUGGAGUAACUAGGCCUGGGCAUUUCGGGUAUCGGUUCGGUUCGGUUCGGGUAUUUCGGGUUUUGGGUAGUUUGGAUAGGGGCUAGAGGAUCCAUUUAGUACUUGACCUAUUUUCGGUUCGGUUCGGUUCGGAUAGUUUCGGGUUCGGUUCGGUUCGGAUAGUAAAUGUAGGAACCGGAAAAUAUCCGGAGAAAGUUCGGUUCUCAUUUGGAUCCGGUUCGGGUUCGGAUAGUUCGGGUAGUUCGGAUAAUUUGGAUAAAAUAUCGGUUAUUUAGAGUAAAAUAUCAAAUAAUUAGGAUGAUUUAGAUAAAAAAUUUGGAUAUUUCGGAUUACUUUGGAUAUUUCGGAUAAAACUAUCUGGAUAGUUUGGAUACUUUCGGGUAGUUUGGAUACUUUAUAAUAAUUUAGUUAUCCUCCAUUAUUUUCAGGUACUUUUAAUAGAAUUUUAAAUUAAAAAUAUAUAUUUAGUGAUGUUAUAUGUAUAUAUAAUUAAUAUUUUUAUAUAUUCGGAUACCCGUUCGGUUCUCGGUUCGGUUCGGUUAUUUCGGAUAUAAAAAUAUAGAAACCGUUCGGGUAUUUGAGGGUAUUAGUCCGGUUUCGGUUUCGGGUAUUUCGGUUUGGUUCCGGUUCGAUUCUUCGGUUCCGGUUAUUUUGCCCAGGCCUAGGAGUAACUAUGUAUUUUGGCAACAAAAUGGUGAAAUUCGAUGUGAAACAAAAUAUUCUGAAUGUGCAUCAAUAAAUGCCUUUAGACAGCGACACGUGCCUGGUGCCUCACAGUCUCGAGCCCGUCGUUAAGCACUGUUACCACCGAAACCCAAAUAUCACCUUCUUUUUGCAUUGGUCUUCUUAAAAACCAUUUUAUAAUUGAAGCCACACAAAUAUUAAUGCAACUCUGGAAUAUUCAUAUCAUUAAAGACAUCUGAUUAUAGAGAACGUAACAAUUCCCAUUUAGGGAAUCUAUUUGGUUAGUUAGUCCAAGUGGGGUUGUCGUGUGAGAUGUAACUAUUGGUUUGGUUUGUUUUUAUUUAAGUGGUUCGAGCAUCAAAUUGUUUAAUGUGGAUUCGGCAUACUUGAACUUGGAUUGGUUAUAUAGCGACUACAGUUCAAAAGAAUCCAUGCGUAAGGGAGAAAACAUAGUUUUAUCGAAUCAAAUUUAUCUGAAAAGAGGAAAAUGAUAAGAGUUAUGCCUUAUCUGAAGAUCAUGUGUCCACUUAAUUAAACCCCUCGACAGGGCCUUUUUCACUAUUGAUUUUAAAUCAGCAUGAAACAUGAUGCAAGUAUGGUUGUUGAAUAGAUAACAAUCCUUUAACGAAUUUAGACUAAAUAUUUGCAUCAAUGAUUAAAGUAUAUCGAUGUACCUCAUGGAGCCAUAAUUUAAGGAAGGUUCCUUUCUCCCUUACAUUUAAAACUGGAAGCUAGCGCUAGUGUCGGAUAUGAACUGUUACAGCUGUAUAUUUGAGCACCAUGAAUUUGUCAGUGACUUUUCAUAUAGAUUGUUCGAAGCUGAUAAUGCCAAUCCCACAUAUUGGUUAGGUCAGCGUUUUCCACACCUUCAGAUUAGUUUGAGCGACUUAGUAUUUGCUUAUUAUAUAUAGCUUUUCUAUUUUGUUUGUUUUAUCCCCACGCUAAGUAAUUCGAAUUGACUUUGAAUGUUUGGACAUUCUUCGUUUUGACUUGUACAUAAACUCAAAAACAUGUGAUGGAGAUAUCAAUCUCUGAUCUAAGUGGGUAGAUAUACAUUUUUUUUUGAAACACCGAUAUACAUUUGUUUAAACAUUACAUGUAGCAAAUAUAGUGUAAAUACUAAUUACCCUUUAAAGAUUUUUCCUAAUAAAUUAUAUGCACUUGCCUUAAUCUUAUUUGUAUUUCAUCUACAGAUACACAAACAAAGAAUAUGUACCUAUGUGCUUAGAUUCUUAGGACAUGGACAUUGAUUUAUUAUUUGAACAGGUUUCUCAUGAAUAUAUAAUAGGAAUGAAGUAAAGAAAUAAAGAAAGAGAGAAAAUAAUCUUAUUUUGUUUGAGACAUUUUAACACAUAUUUGAAAAUAAUCAAUAUUUUAAAAUAUUUAAUUUAUUUUUAAAAAAUCUAUGGGUAUGAAUAGUGACCAAUAAACGACGAAGAAUAAUGCAUUCAUUAACAUUCCUAACAAAAGUCACAAUUCAUAAAGAAUAAUUUUUCUUUCUUAUUCCCUACCAUUUCUUUUUUUUAGAGAAAUAAAGAAUAAAAUUAUUCAUUAUUAAAUAUGACAUGAAAUAACUAUUCAUUUUUAUUACUACAAUUUUAUUCAUCUGUAUUAUUUUCUAACGGUUCCUCUUGUCUCCGGUAACUGGGUCAUACCCUAUAUUCACCAGUGCUGACGGAUUAAUACUACGGAGACUUCAUAAUUGGAUUAGUUGUGGACUAUGAAUGGCAGAUUUGUAAAACCAAAAAUUAAAGAAGGGUAAAAGAGAGAAAACAGCAUAACGAAAGUACUAAAUGGUCCGAACAGUGCACUUGUAUUCCUUGUCCGAAGGCUACUGUGGAUAUUUUCCUCAAACAGGUAAAUAAUACUUUCUCUCUCUAGCAUCUCCCUCCGAUUCCCAUUUUCGCCAUUUUUCUUUCACUUUCUUGGCUGAUUUUCCCUGGAAAAAGAAGAAAAACAUUAUAAACCCUCACCACAAACUCCCCUGAAAACGAAUACUUGAUGCUAUAUUAAAUGACCCUUUUGAUUUAAAUAUUUCAGAUCUGUGUAUCUUCUUCUUAUACCACUACGCUUAUGAUGAGGAGAUCUGAGUUAUAGAAGAAUCAUACCAAAGACUGAGAGAAAAAAGCUCAUGAAAAGAAUCCGAAGGAAAUUUCAUUUUUACCAUCUUCGCAGCCAUUGUUGUCCGACAGACAGUGAGCUUGAACAGUUGACACCUGUAAUCCAAGUGAGUUUCUCUUGUUGGUGAUUAUUGAGGCAAAACCCUUUCUCUCUUUUAUUUUUUUAAGGAUUAAAUCUAUGCUUUAUUUAUUGUAUCUAUAUUGUUAACUUCUGUGAUUGUGUUAACUUCUGUGAUUGUUCCAUUUUAAGGGCAAGCUUUUAGCUUCUUGAACAAAAAAUAUCAUUACUCAGGUAGUCAGGUUCUUCGACUAAAAAAAAUAUAUUUGUUGUUCUUCAACUAAAAAAAAUUUAUGACCAAAGCUCAUAAUCUUUGGAAGUAUCUUUUUUUUAUUAAACAAUAAUAGUUUAGGGUUUCUGAAAAGGCUCUUGCAGGCUAUGAAGCUAUAUAUACUACGAAACUGAAAUGCUAUGAACAUGAGUAGGUUUUGCAGAUCUACAUAUUAGUAUAAAUUAAUUAAUUAGCUGACAUUAAUCCUUAUAGAUAAAAAGACAAAAAUAGCACUAAAUCAAGUUUUUGUUCCCAAACUAGUACUCAAGUUCAAAAGUCACAAAAAUAGCACUUAAUGUUUUAUCAAAAGUCACAAAUUUAGGGUUUAGAGUUAAAGGGUGGGGUUUAGGAUUUAAGGUUUAGGGUUUAAGGUUUAGGGUUUAGAUUUUAGGGUUUAGGGUUUAGAGUUUAGGGUUUAUGGAUUAGAGUUUUGAGUUUAGGGUUUAUGGUUUAGAGUUUAGGGUUUAGGGUUUAGGGUUUAUGGUUUAGGGUUUAGGGUUUAGGGUUUAGGGUUUAGAGUUUAGAAAUGAGGUUUUGGGGAUAAGAUUUCAAAUUUUGAAAAAUAAAAAAAAUUAAAAUUUUCAA
rnacentral:lncRNA from 1 species